rfam:Triticum aestivum genome assembly, contig: Triticum_aestivum_CS42_TGACv1_scaffold_005405_1AL
GAUAGUAAGAGGAAGAGAGAGAGGGCAUCAGACAAGUGGGAAUGAUAACAUAGAGGAAAGCCUAACUUAUUGGUUCUUCACCUCUUGUCUUGAGGUGGGAAUGCAGUUUGGCACUUCACGAUGCCUCUCAUUCCUAUCGUUCUUAUGCACUCCUUUCUCUUCUUUUUUGUU